rnacentral:rRNA from 1 species
AUCCGGAGGAUCCGAGCGUUAUCCGGAUUUAUUGGGUUUAAAGGGAGCGUAGGCCGUGUAUUAAGUGUGUUGUGAAAUGUAGAUGCUCAACAUCUGAACUGCAGCGCAUACUGGUGCACUUGAGUACGCACAACGUAGGCGGAAUUCGUCGUGUAGCGGUGAAAUGCUUAGAUAUGACGAAGAACUCCGAUUGCGAAGGCAGCUUACGGGAGCGCAACUGACGCUGAUGCUCGAAGGUGCGGGUAUCGAACAGGAUUAGAUACCCUGGUAGUCCGCACGGUAAACGAUGGAUGCUCGCUGUCCGGUCCCUGUGACCGCGUGGCCAAGCGAAAGCGUUAAGCAUCCCACCUGGGGAGUACGCCGGCAACGGUGAAACUCAAAUGAAUUGACGGGG